CCCUUAGAUGUCCUGGGCCGCACGCGCGCUACACUGAACGGAUCAGCGCGUUUUCCCUUCCCGAGAGGGACGGGUAACCUGCUGAACCCCGUUCGUGGUAGGGAUCGGGGCUUGCAAUUAUUCCCCGUGAACCAGGAAUGCCCAGUAAGUGCAAGUCAUAAGCUUGCGUUGAUUACGUCCCUGCCCUUUGUACACACCGCCCGUCGCACCUACCGAUUGAAUGGUCCGGUGAAGCCUCCGGAUUGGCGCGCACCUCGGUGCCGCCGAGAAGUUGGCUAAACCUUACCAUUUAGAGGAAGGUGAAGUCGUAACA
rnacentral:rRNA from 1 species